UACGAAGGGGGCUAGCGUUGUUCGGAAUUACUGGGCGUAAAGCGCGCGCAGGCGGUCUUCCAAGUCAGUGGUGAAAGCCCGGAGCUCAACUCCGGAACUGCCAUUGAAACUGUGAGACUGGAGUACGAGAGAGGUGAGUGGAAUUCCCAGUGUAGAGGUGAAAUUCGUAGAUAUUGGGAAGGACACCGGUGGCGAAGGCGGCUCACUGGCUCGUAACUGACGCUCAGGCGCGACAGCGUGGGGAUCAAACAGG
rnacentral:rRNA from 1 species